CAGGCGCAUUCAGGGUAAACAAAAAAAUCAAAUUAAACAAAAAACCUACCAGUAAUAUUUUGCAAAUUUAGAAAAUUUAAAUGAAGUGCUAAAUAUUUGAGCUGCCACUAUAGAUGGUAGAUGGUUUGGUAGAAUAAGUAAUGUUUUCCUACUUCUGUCCCUUCAAAACGUUGCUUCAAAGUUAUCGUAAAAAGGGGCUAGUAUUGCUUCAUCAAACGAUAUCGAUUUUAACACCACAAUAACAACUUCGUACGGAUCUUCGCUAAUGAUAUAAACACAAUAAGCUACGUACACAUGACGUAUGCAUUGCGGAACUUCGGACCAGAAAUUGUUGAUUAUUGUUUGCCAAAAAACCUAAAAAGACGUGGUGAAAUAACCAAGGAUAAACAGUUUACUAGAGUCAAAGUGAGGUUUUUUUUCGUUAAUUGUUGUAAUAUAGUUCGGGCCGUGUGUGUGUUCUUUUGCAUUGUUUCAUUCACUGUCAUCCCGGAUCCUGCUAUAGCCAACUAAACGGUAUAAGUUGUGCUAAUUGUUUAUUCGUUGGUCCCUGGUGGAUAGUUGUGUUCAUUGUUUAUUCGUUGGUCCCUGGUAGAUAGUUGUGUUCCUUGUUUAUUCGUUGGUCCCUGGUGGAAUGUUGUGUUCAUUGUUUAUUCGUUGGUCACUGGUGGAAAUAGUUCAUUGUUUAUUCGUUGGUCCCUGGUGGAUCUUGGUGGAAUGUUGUGUUCAUUGUUUAUUCGUUGGUCCCUGGUGAGUAGUUGUUUUCAUUGUUUAUUUUUUGGUCCAUGGUGGAUAGUUAAGUUCAUUGUUUAUUCAUUGUUCCCUGGUAGAUAGUUGUCUCAUUGUUUAUUCGUUGGUCCCUGGUUGAUAGUUGUGUUCAUUGUUUAUUCGUUGGUCCCUUGUGGAUAGUUUUGGUCUCUUGUGGAUAGUUGAGUUCAUUGUUUAUUCGUUGGUCCCUGGUGGAUAGUUUUCUCAUUGUUUAUUCGUUGGUCCCUAGUUGAUAGUUGUGUUCAUUGUUUUAUUCGUUGGUCCCUGGUGGAUAGUUCAGUUCAUUGUUUAUUCGUUGGUCUCUGGUGGAUAUUGUCUCAUUGUUUAUUCGUUGGUCCCUGUUUGAUAGUUUUCUCAUUGUUUAUUCGUUGGCCCCUGGUGGAUAGUUGUUUCAUUGUUUAUUCGUUGGUCCCUGGUUGAUAGUUAUGUUCAUUGUUCAUUCGUUGGUCCUUGGUGGAUAGUUGAGUUCAUUGUUUAUUCGUUGGUCACUGGUUGAUAGUUGUCUCAUUGUUUAUUCGUUUGUCUCUGGUUGAUAGUUGUCUCAUUGUUUAUUCGUUGGUCCCUGGUGGAUAGUUGUCUCAUUGUUUAUUCGUUGGUCUCUGGUGGAUAGUUGUCUCAUUGUUUAUUCGUUGGUCCCUAGUUGAUAGUUGUCUCAUUGUUUAUUCGUUGGUCCCUGGUGGAUAGUUGUUUCAUUGUUUAUUCGUUGGUCCCUGGUGGAUAGUUGUCUCAUUGUUUAUUCGUUGGUCCCUGGUGGAUAGUUGUCUCAUUGUUUAUUCGCUGGUGGUGGAUAGUUUGUCUCAUUGUUUAUUCAUUGGUCUCUGGUUGAUAUUUAUGUUCAUUGUAUAUUCGUUGGUCCCUGGUGGAUAGUUGUUUUCAUUGUUUAUUCGUUGGUCCCUGGUGGAUAGUUGUCUAAUUGUUUUUCGUUGUCCUGGUGGAUAGUUUGUGUUCAUUGUUUAUUCUUGGUCCCUGUGUGAUUGUUUAUUGUCUCAUUGUUUAUUCGUUGGUCCCUGGUGGAUAGUUGUCUCAUUGUUUAUUCGUUGGUCUCUGGUGGAUAGUUGUUUUCAUUGUUUAUUCUUGGUCCUGGUGGAUAGUUGUUUAUUGUUUUAUCGCUGGUCCCUGGUUGAUAGUUGAUUCAUUGUUUAUUCAUUUCCCUGGUGGAUAGUUGUUCGUUGGUCCUGUGGAUAGUUGUUUUGUUUUGUCCUGUGGAUAGUUGUUUCUGUUUUUUUCGUUGGUCCCUGGUUGAUAGUUGAGUUCAUUGUUUAUUCAUUGUUCCCUGGUGAUAGUUGUCUCAUUGUUUAUUCGUUGGUCCCUGGUGGAUAGUUGUUUUUCAUUGUUUAUUCUUGUCUGGUGGAUAGUUGUUUCAUUGUUUUUCGUGGUCCCUGGUUGAUAGUUGAGUUCAUUGUUUAUUCAUUGUCCCUGGUGGAUAGUUGUCUCAUUGUUUAUUCGUUGUCCCCUGGGUGGAUAGUUGUUUUCAUUGUUUAUUCCUUGGUCCCUGGUGGAUAGUUGUUUCAUUGUUUUUUCCUGGUCCCUGGUUGAUAGUUGAGUUCAUUGUUUAUUCAUGUUUCCCUGGUGGAUAGUUGUCUCAUUGUUUAUUCGUUGGUCCUGGUGGAUAGUUGUUUUCAUUGUUUAUUCCUUGGUCCCUGGUGGAUAGUUGUUUCAUUGUUUUUUUCGCUGGUCCCUGGUGAUAGUUGAGUUCAUUGUUUAUUCAUUGUCCCUGGUGGAUAGUUGUUCAUUGUCAAUUGUUUAUUCCUGGUCCCUGGUGGAUAGUUGUUUCAUUGUUUAUCUUGGUCCCUGUGGAUUGUUUCAUUGUUUUUCGCUGGUCCCUGGUUGAUAGUUGAGUUCAUUGUUUAUUCAUUGUUCCCUGUGGAUAGUUGUCUCAUGUUUAUUCGUUGGUCCUGGUGGAUAGAUGUUUCAUUGUUUUAUUCCUUGGUCCCUGGUGGAUAGUUGUUUUCAUUGUUUUUUCGCUGUCCCUGGUUGAUAGUUGAGUUCAUUGUUUAUUCAUUGUUCCCUGGUCGAUAGUUGGUCUCAUUGUUUAUUCGUUUGUUGGUCCCUGGUGGAUAGUUGUUUCAUUGUUUAUUCCUUGGUCCCUGGUGGAUAGUUGUUUCAUUGUUUUUUCGCUGGUCCCUGGUUGAUAGUUGAGUUCAUUGUUUAUUCAUUGUUCCCUGGUCGAUAGUUGUCUCAUUGUUUAUUUGUUGGUCCCUGGUGGAUAGUUGUUUUCAUUGUUUAUUCCUUGGUCCCUGGUGGAUAGUUGUUUCAUUGUUUUUUUCGCUGGUCCCUGGUUGAUAGUUGAGUUCAUUGUUUAUUCAUUGUUCCCUGGUGGAUAGUUGUCUCAUUGUUUAUCGUUGUCCCUGGUGGAUAGUUGUUUUCAUUGUUUUUCCUUGUCCUGGUGGAUAGUUGUUUCAUUUUUUUUUCGCUGGUCCCUGGUUGAUAGUUGAGUUCAUUGUUAUUCAUUGUUCCCUGGUGGAUAGUUGUCUCAUUGUUAUCGUUUGGUCUCUGUGGAUAGUUGUUAUCAUUGUUUAUUCCUUGGUCCCUUGUGGAUAGUUGUCUCAUUGUUUAUUCGUUGGUCCCUUGUGGAUAGUUGUCUCAUUGUUUAUUCGUUGGUCCCUGGUGGAUAGUUGCUCAUUGUUUAUUCAUUUGGUCCUGGUGAUAGUUAUGUUUCAUUGUAUAUAUUUGGUUCCUGUGGAUAGUUGUUUUCAUUGUUUAUUCUUGGUCCUUGUGGAUAGUUGUCUCAUUGUUAUUCGUUGUCCCGGUUGGAUAGUUGUUCAUUGUUUAUUCGUUGGUCCCUGGUGGAUAGUUGUCUCAUUGUUUAUUCGCUGGUCCCUGGUGGAUAGUUGUCUCAUUGUUUAUUCGUUGGUCCCUGGUUGAUAG
rnacentral:lncRNA from 1 species